rnacentral:misc_RNA from 1 species
AGAACGUGGUUCAUCUCUGAGCAAAACGGUCGCAUUUCUCAAUCUUAUUCCCUAUUGUCAUGGCGAUUGACAAAUUUGGCGAAGACUUGCACCACUCCGAAGGGCGCACAGACUGUGAAGAUGGUCUAAAACGCAUGAAUGACGUCCUGAAGUUUAUUGAAAUGGAGAAAAAUCAGAAAGAUUCCCAGAAUUCGUCAGAGACAAAUAGCACGCAUUCGCAGCAGACGACAGAUACCGCUGCCCCCGAUGGCGGCUGGGGAUGGUUGGUCUGCCUCGGCAGUUUUGUCAUCAAUUUCAUCCUGGACGGCACCAUGUUUUCCUUUGGAGUGAUGCUACUCACACUCCUCGAGUAUUUUGGCGAGUCCAAGGCUAAGACCUCCUGGAUUGGGUCCGUCCUGCUCGGCCUGAGUAUGAUUCUCGGUCCUUUUGUUGGCUGGUUAUUGGACAGAUUCACCAUCCGUCAAGUGACAUUGUGUGGUGCCCUGGUAGCCUCCUGCGGCUUUGUCAUCAGCACGUUCGCACAAAGUGUCGAGGUCCUGAUUAUAACGUACGGGAUUGUUGGAGGAAUCGGUUUUUGUAUGAUGUUCAUUCCUAGCAUUAUUGUCGUGGGUUUAUACUUUUCCCGGAGGAGGGCGCUCGCAACCGGAAUCGCCAUGAGCGGUUCCGGCGUAGGAACCUUCGUCUAUGCCUACCUCUGUGAAGCUCUCUUAAAUGAAUUCAGCUGGCGAGGAACAGUCCUGAUUAUGGCUGGAAUUAUUUUGAAUUGUGUCGUCUGUGCUGCUUUAUUCAGACCUUUAUCGAAUGAGGCCGUAAAACAGAAGCAACGAAACGCGAAGGAAAGCAAACUGUACGACUGUGUGCAUUGUUUGGAUUCGAACAAAUCUUCAUCCACUGACUUGAGCACAAAAAGUAAAGAUUUGUAUGGAGGAUUUGACGGACCAAGAAACGGGUCUGUUGUAUUCAACUCUACCUCAGCCUUGGAUAGAAGGACCCCUGCAUGUUACUCAUUUAUUGAAAACACUUCUUACCGAAAACCCAAACGAAUGUACUCGAGCGCCCAUGCGUUAAACCGAAUAGACAAUUUGAAUUUUCAACAACCUAGUGUGCUAAAGCCGUUUAACCCUCUGUCUCGAAAAGACAUCUAUUACAGUGGAAGCGUCAGAAACAUCCCCAAAAGUGUGUCUAGCUCAGACUUAAGUGAUAGUAACAACACUGAGGAGUUGUCUGACUUUGAAAUAGAGGUCAGUGAGGUCAAGGCCGCUUCCUGCUGCUCGUGUCUACAGAAGCUGGGGGGAACGGUAGACUUGUCGCUCUUUAAGAAUGGCAAGUUUACUCUCCUGCUGUUGUGUAUGGUGCUCUGGACAGGGGGUCAGGGCGCUGACGUAAUUCUCCUGCACGUGUGCAUUUAGGGGCUUACCGUUACGUCCGGCAGUCAAGUCACUCAAUAUGCAAAGAUGUAAUUGGCAGGACGCUCAGUCUAUAACUCUCACCUACCUGCCAGACAUGGCCGUUGCAAACGGUAUACCACGUGAUAAAAGCGCGAGCAUCAUCUCUAUCUGUGGCAUCACGAACACUAUCGGGCGGAUUUUGGCGGGCUUUCUCACUGACUCCUUCCACGUUAGCAGUACAACCAUCUAUCUCGUCGCCCUUACUGUGGCAGCUGUAACCAACUUUCUCUUCCCGUGGUGUUACAACUAUCUGACUAUUGCCCUGUGUUCGGGCGUCUUUGGUCUGUGUAUGGCUAGCAUUGUAUGCCUGCGUACCAUUGUGAUCGUGGAACAGCUAGGUUUAAAACGACUAACCAGUGCCUUCAGCAUGAUUGCCUUUUUCCAGGGCGUAGCAUUUAUUAUUAAUCCCCCACUUGCAGGUUUUCUGUACGAUCAUAUGAAAUCCUAUCUGUACCCGUUUAUCUUGUCCGGGACAAUGUACCUUGUGGCUGCCCUGGCCUGUGCUACAGUCAUGCUGAAACACUGCAUUUCGGCCAAGGACACAAGCAAAGACAACAUUUCUAUUGUGAUUGAAAGUGAGGGGACCUCAACGGAUGAAUCUCUUCUCAAUGUAUUAUGAUAGAGUGUUUGCAGAAUGUUUUAUAUGCAAAUUAUAUAAUAAAUUAGAAUAUUGUCAUGUUUUGGAAAUGCUUUGCUUUUAAACUAAAAUUUGCUUGUUUCUUGAUUUCUGGCCAAGCGCUAGAAGAGCCCUUAAGUUAGUUAACCAUUCUAGACUUUAGCAUUAGCAAUGGAUACAAUGUAGAAAUGUAGUGCUUAAAUCGAGACCAUGCUGUAUUAUAUUAGUUAGAUGUAUAUAUAGAACCUAAUAUAUAUUCAAGUGCAAUUUUUUUUACUCUUUUAAUCCUUAAUAAAUCAGCAUUAUUGUCUUU